UCCUAUUGCACUCUGGAGUACAACCCUCUCUGUGGGUCCAACGGCGUCACCUAUUCUAAUGACUGCAACUUCUGCGCUGCCAAACGAGAAAAAGGAAGUAGGAUUUUGGUCCGUCAUCGCGGGGAAUGUAAAGAGAAGAAGCAGCAGCCUCUUGAAACUGAACCUUUAUCUGUUGAUUGUCGAGCUACGGUCCUUUUUGCA